CAGCAGCCGCGGGAAUACGUAGGGUGCAAGCGUUAAUCGGAAUUACUGGGCGUAAAGCGUGCGCAGGCGGUUUGUUAAGACAGAUGUGAAAUCCCCGGGCUCAACCUGGGAACUGCAUUUGUGACUGGCAAGCUAGAGUAUGGCAGAGGGGGGUGGAAUUCCGCGUGUAGCAGUGAAAUGCGUAGAUAUGCGGAGGAACACCGAUGGCGAAGGCAGCCCCCUGGGCCAAUACUGACGCUCAUGCACGAAAGCGUGGGGAGCAAACAGGAUUAGAUACCCCGGUAGUCCCUGUCUCUUAUAC
rnacentral:rRNA from 1 species